rnacentral:rRNA from 1 species
AACCGAGAACUCCUACGGGAGGCAGCAGUGGGGAAUUUUGGACAAUGGGCGCAAGCCUGAUCCAGCAAUGCCGCGUGCAGGAUGAAGGCCUUCGGGUUGUAAACUGCUUUUGUACGGAACGAAAAGGCUCUGGUUAAUACCUGGGGCACAUGACGGUACCGUAAGAAUAAGCACCGGCUAACUACGUGCCAGCAGCCGCGGUAAUACGUAGGGUGCGAGCGUUAAUCGGAAUUACUGGGCGUAAAGCGUGCGCAGGCGGUGAUGCAAGACAGAUGUGAAAUCCCCGGGCUUAACCUGGGAACUGCAUUUGUGACUGCAUCGCUGGAGUGCGGCAGAGGGGGAUGGAAUUCCGCGUGUAGCAGUGAAAUGCGUAGAUAUGCGGAGGAACACCGAUGGCGAAGGCAAUCCCCUGGGCCUGCACUGACGCUCAUGCACGAAAGCGUGGGGAGCAAACAGGAUUAGAAACCCUUGUAGUCCGACUGAGA